UUGACCUCGAAUCAGGUAGGAAUACCCGCUGAACUUAAGCAUAUCAAUAAGCGGAGGAAAAGAAACCAACCGGGAUUACCUCAGUAACGGCGAGUGAAGCGGUAACAGCUCAAAUUUGAAAUCUGGCUCUUCCGGAGUCCGAGUUGUAAUUUGUAGAAGAUGCUUUGGGUGGUGGGUUCGGCCUAAGUUCCUUGGAACAGGGCGUCAUAGAGGGUGAGAAUCCCGUAUGUGGCCGAGGCCCGCGCCUAUGUAAAGCUCUUUCAACGAGUCGAGUUGUUUGGGAAUGCAGCUCAAAAUGGGUGGUAAAUUUCAUCUAAAGCUAAAUAUGGGCCAGAGACCGAUAGCGCACAAGUAGAGUGAUCGAAAGAUGAAAAGCACUUUGGAAAGAGAGUUAAACAGUACGUGAAAUUGUUGAAAGGGAAGCGCUUGCAACCAGACUUGGGCGCUGUCGAUCACCCCGAGUUCUCUCGAGUGCACUCGACAGCGCACAGGCCAGCAUCGGUUCGGGUGGCUGGAUAAAGGCCGUAGGAACGUGGCUCCCUUCGGGGAGUGUUAUAGCCUACGGUGCCAUGCAGCCCAGCCGGACCGAGGACCGCGCCUUCGGGCUAGGAUGCUGGCGUAAUGGUUGUAAGCGACCCGUCUUGAAACACGGACCAAGGAGUCUAACAUCUAUGCGAGUGUUUGGGUGGUAAACCCAUACGCGGAAUGAAAGUGAACGUAGGUGAGAACCCC
rnacentral:rRNA from 1 species